rnacentral:rRNA from 1 species
CCUACCCAUAAGAGGGGGAUAACAGUUGGAAACGACUGCUAAUACCGCAUAAGCUAUUGAGGUCGCAUGACCUAAAUAGUAAAGGUGGCGCCUGUUUACAGGCUAUCACUUAUGGAUGGGCCCGCGUCUGAUUAGCUAGUUGGUGGGGUAGAAGCCUACCAAGGCAACGAUCAGUAGCCGGCCUGAGAGGGUGGACGGCCACACUGGGACUGAGACACGGCCCAGACUCCUACGGGAGGCAGCAGUGGGGAAUAUUGCGCAAUGGGGGAAACCCUGACGCAGCGACGCCGCGUGAGCGAUGAAGGCCUUAGGGUCGUAAAGCUCUGUUGUAAGGGACGAAUGUUUAUCUGGCGAACAGUCAGAUAAAGUGACGGUACCUUACCAGCAAGCCCCGGCUAACUACGUGCCAGCAGCCGCGGUAAGACGUAGGGGGCGAGCGUUGUCCGGAAUUACUGGGCGUAAAGAGCACGUAGGCGGAUAAUUAAGUCAGAUGUGAAAGACCGGGGCCCAACCUCGGGGUUGCAUCUGAAACUGGAUAUCUUGAGGGCAGGAGAGGAAAGUGGAAUUCCUGGUGUAGCGGUGAAAUGCGUAGAAAUCAGGAGGAAUACCAGUGGCGAAGGCGACUUUCUGGACUGACCCUGACGCUGAGGUGCGAAAGCGUGGGUAGCAAACAGGAUUAAAUACCCUGGUAGUCCACGCUGUAAACGAUGGAUACUA